rnacentral:rRNA from 1 species
GAUGAACGCUGGCGGCGUGCUUAAUACAUGCAAGUCGAACGGUCAAGGCGGAGCUUUCCCUCCUGGACCAGUGGCGAACGCGUGAGUAACACGUGAGCAAUCUGCCCCUGACACUCGGAUAUGAGCUCGAAACGGCGGCUAAUACUGGAUACGAGCUGCUAAGGCAUCUUCAGCAGCUGUAAAGAACUGCGGUCAGGGAUCAGCUGGCUGCCUAUCAGCUUGUUAGGCAGGUAAUGGAUCACCAAGGCUACGACGGGUAGCCGGCCUGAGAGGGUUACCGGCCACCAGGCGACUAAGAGACGGAGCAGAAUGGUACGGGAGGCAGCGGGGGGGAAUCUUGCGCAAUGGGGGCAAGUCUGAUGCAGAAAUGUCGCGUGAGGAACGCCGGCCUUCGGGGUGUAAACAACUUUUAGCAGGGAAGAAGCGAAAUUGACGGUACCUGAAGAGAAAGCGCCGGCUAACUACGUG